AACAAACGCUGGCGGCGUGCCUAAUACAUGCAAGUCGAACGGGGAAAGCUUUCGGGUGAGUACUAGUGGCGCACGGGUGAGGAACGCGUGGAUAAUCUGCCUUAGAGUGGGGGAUAACUAGUCGAAAGAUUAGCUAAUACCUCAUAAGACCACGAGAGCUGCGGCUUUUGAGGUCAAAGGUUUUUCGCUCUAAGAUGAGUCCGCGUAAGAUUAGCUAGUUGGUGAGGUAACGGCUCACCAAGGCGACGAUCUUUAACUGGUCUGAGAGGAUGAUCAGUCACACUGGAACUGAGACACGGUCCAGACUCCUACGGGAGGCAGCAGUAGGGAAUAUUGCACAAUGGAGGAAACUCUGAUGCAGCGACGCCGCGUGAGGGAUGAAGGCCUUCGGGUCGUAAAGCUCUGUCGCAGGGGAAUAACACAAUGAAGGUACCCUGUAAGAAAGGAUCGGCUAACUUCGUG
rnacentral:rRNA from 1 species